rnacentral:lncRNA from 1 species
CCUUGAUAUUAUUUAUUCUACUCAUGCUCAUUAUAACUGCUAUGCAUCAAAGCUAUGAUUCACCUAUUGUGAAUCACAAAGAUUUGACCCUUUCCCCACCUCCCCAUUAAGUACCAGGACCCAGUCCUUCUGGAGAGAGAUUUCAGAGUAUUUUUGUUGUUGUUCUUCCAUUAUGUGAUCACUACUCUAGGGAGCUGUAACAUUGUUCUGUUUUUGCUUUCUGCUUUUUUUCCCCAUUUUUUCCCUCCCUUAUAGGACCAUAGGCCUAGAGUACUCCAAAAUCAUCCAAUCUAACCUACUCAUUCUUAAAGAUGAGAAAAUUAUGGCCUACUUCAAACUUCCUGUGUCCUUGAGGUGGCAAAGGGAGACACAAAUGACUGGAGACAUCAUAAAAUGUCCUUUGUUAGAAAUGAUGGGUUAAACUUUGAAGGAACGACUCUAAGAGGUGGAGGUAAGGAGUGAGGGCAUUCUAGGCAUGGAGGGAAAAACUGUGAAAAACUGCAGAGAACAAAGAUGACUUGCCAUGUAUAUGAGAAAUAGCAAGAUGGCUAGCUUGGCUGAACUGUAACAUGGGUGAAGGAUAAUAUAUAAUAACCCUAGAAAGAUAAAUUUGGAGCCAAAUUAUAAAAGUUAAAUUCCAAGCAAAGGAGUCUGUAUUUUAUACCAGAGGCAAUAGAGAGACCCUGGAGCUUUUUAAAGCAGUGAACAUAGUCAGGACUACUGUAGGAAUAUUACUUUGGUAGCUG